GACUCUGCCCUUCUGUGCAACCACAUGAUGUCAACAGUGGGUCCAGAAUACUCGUCGACAAGAUCUCCUGCACCGAACUCCAGAGUACUUGUCAGCCAACUGUUGUCUUUGUUCUUUACACUUUGAACUUGACCAGUUUUCCAACAAGCAUUAUGUACA